GGGUCGAUGCUCGAGUGGUUAAUGGGGAUGGAUUGUAAAUCCAUUGGUUUUUACCUUCACUGGUUCAAAUCCAGUUCGACCCA
rnacentral:tRNA from 1 species